rnacentral:misc_RNA from 1 species
UGCUGGAAUGGCAGGGUCUUGAAUAAUUGGCAGCUCAAAUUGGACUGGAAAACUCUCCCUGGGAUAUUCUUCUGCCAGGUAUGCAGUGGCUCCCUUUUCUACCUUUAAGAAAUUGGGUAUACCUGGUCCUCCCCCAUGGCCAUUUGUUGGAAAUCUUCCUGAAAUAAGCAAGAAGCCUGGUCAGCCAUUUUUAGUUGAAAAGGAAUUAGCUGAAAAAUAUGGAAGAGUUUUUGGGUAUUAUCUUGGACGCAUCCCUGCAUACAUGAUAUCAGAUGUUGACCUUCUUAAGCAGAUUCUUGUCAAAGAAUUCAGUAAAUUUCCCAAUAGACCACUUGCGAAUUUUGGAGGCCAGGGUAUGAGCAGCAGGAAAGGGUUGUUACAACUUGAGGAUGAGGACUGGAGGAGAAUCCGUACAACAAUUACUCCAACAUUUAGUGCUGUUAAAUUGAAGCAGGUUGGUGCUGCCAAUCACUUGAGAUUAGCAAAGGAUCAAACAAACAUAAGGUGUUGGCCUUGAUGUAAAUAACCCAUGGAUAUCUAUGUUAGGAAAUAAUAUUCCCUAUUCCCUCC